rnacentral:rRNA from 1 species
UACAGAGGGUGCAAGCGUUAAUCGGAAUUACUGGGCGUAAAGGGUGCGUAGGUGGUUGAAUAGGUUAGGUGUGAAAGUCCUGGGCUUAACCUGGGGAUUGCGCCUAAUACUGUUUAGCUAGAGUACUGUAGAGGAAGGUGGAAUUUCCAGUGUAGCGGUGAAAUGCGUAGAUAUUGGAAGGAACAUCAGUGGCGAAGGCGACUUUCUGGACAGUUACUGACACUGAGGCACGAAGGCCAGGGGAGCAAACGGG